GGCACAACGAUUCAAUUAUGUUCUCUUGUCGAAACAACCAUUUCAAGGAUGCCGUGUGAAUUCUUGUAGAAGAUAAAUCUUCUUUGCCAUUACUCAUGAGCUGGAAUAUGAUCUCCUCAUCUUCUUGACUAUAGUAAAUAUGGUAGUUCAUAUUGCCAAGACCCCUCAACAAACGGUAGAGGUCCAACAAUCGUGUCACCGUCAAAUUACCGGUUGUCUCAUCAUGAAAGUCAUUACUAUCGCUCAAAGAACCAACUUAUCAUCUGCAAGUCUUCUAUAGUGAACUGGUAUAUAUCCUUGGUAAAGCAGCAUAUUGACAAGGAGAAAAAAUAUGGAUUGUAUGUGCUCCUUUUCUCCGACAGAGAGAGCAAAUCAACAGGACCUGAAGGCAGAUGAGAAGAAGCCUCUUCAGUAAGUUUCCAUGCAACAGAUUUAUGGAAACUCAUCGGCAGCCUCAUGGGCAACACAGGUAUGCACCUGUCUAUCAAGACAAUAACUUUCUUCAGGAGAGGAACAAACCCUUAGAACAGUUGCAAUGGUGAAUUGGUCCGGCAACAGUCCACUCUGUAAUAAAUCAACAAGCCUCCUUAAAGAAUAUUCCUCUAAACCACUCAUAGCACAGUCAGUUCUAGCCGGUUAAAAUAGCAUAAACGUGAAGAGUCUCGGAAGCAGAUGGGGAAACAUAGAGGAGG